rnacentral:rRNA from 1 species
UACGAAGGGGGCUAGCGUUGCUCGGAAUUACUGGGCGUAAAGGGCGCGUAGGCGGAUAUCUAAGUUGGGGGUGAAAAUCCCGGGGCUCAACCUCGGAAUUGCCUUCAAAACUGGAUAUCUUGAGUUCGGGAGAGGUGAGUGGAACUCCGAGUGUAGAGGUGAAAUUCGUAGAUAUUCGGAAGAACACCAGUGGCGAAAGGGCGACUCACUGGCCCGAUACUGACGCUGAGGUGCGAAAAGCGUGGGGGAGCAAAACAGG